UAACCAUCCAAUGAAGAAACGGCUUUGGGUAUUUAUCAUUUUUCCGGUGAUCUCUGCGCUACUUCUCAUCUUGGUACUCUAUUUCUGUAAGAGAAUGAAGAUAGCCAGAAUUGCACUUGGAACUGAAAGCGAACGGGAACCGGAUGGGAAUGAGAGAACUGAUUUCCAGUCAUUUAGUUUUUUCUUCCAUACGAAGUGCAACAAAUAAUUUCUCCCUUGAAAACAAGCUCGGCCAGGGUGGUUUUGUGCCCCAGUGUAUGAGGGUAAAUUGGCAUCUUGACAAGAAAUUGCAAUCAAGAGACUCUCGAAGUUCUGGACAAGGAUCAGAGGAAUUCAAGAAUGAAGUGUUACUAAUCUCGAAGCUUCAGCACAAAAGUCGUGUUUGCCUUCUUGGUUGCUGCCCUCAAGGAGAAGAGAAGCUUCUAAUAUACGAGUACAUGCCAAACAAAAGCUUGGAUUCGUAUCUUCUUGGUUGGUUGCUGCUGCUAUCAAUAAAGUUCUGGUUCGUAUAAUAGGUCUCUCAGUUCUGAUACCUGCCACAAGUUAUAACAGAUUAGAUGAAGAAUGUAUUGCUAGAUUGGAGAAGAGGGUUUUACAUCAUCGAAAGGAUUGUUCAGGGGUUUCUCUGCCUAGACAAGUAUUCCCGGUUGAAAAUCAUCCAUAGAGAUUUGAAGACCAGCAAUAUCUUAUUGGAUGGGGAAUUGAAUCCCAAGAUAUCGGACUUUGGCACAGCAGGAAUUUUCGGGGACAGUGAAUCCCGACCAAAUACAAACAGAAUUGUUGGAACAUAAUGUGUUAUCAUCUGAAGCAUUUGAAUGUGGUGCUUCUUGUUCUAACAUAUUGUUGACCGCAUUGAACAGCGGCUACAUGUCUCCAGAAUAUGCGAUGAAUGGUCUGUUUUCUGUUGAGUCUGAUGUGUUCAGCUUUGGGGUGAUGAUGCUCGAGAUCGUCAGUGGCAAAAAAAAAACGUUACUCUUUAUCAUUGCGAUCAAUUAGUGAAUCUAUUGGUAUAUGUAAGUCAUUGGACAACCUCUCUUGAUUAUCAUCAACAACACUGUACAAAAUUCAGUGUAAAUGUCUUAACUUGUUAGGCAUGUGAUCUUUGGAAAGAAGGGCUGUGGAACUGAUGGAUCCGGGAUUAGUAACCGAAGUACCCUCGAGCACUGAGGUUCUAAGGUGCAUUCGAAUCAGUCUCCUGUGUGUACGAGAAAACGAGUCCGAUACACAGGAACAUGUCUCAUGUCUCGACUAAGCUGAGCAAUGAGGUAAUGACUCUUCCUGACCCGAAGCAACCUGCAUUCUUCACGAUUGUACAUACCAGUGAAGAAGAAGAAGAAGAACCAACUGAAAAUGUUCAGGUCUUCUCUGUCAACAACGUGAGUAUC